AUAAACCGACGGUAUUGUUCAGAUCCUGGCUUGCCAACAGGAGUUCCCCGCGCCAGCGGGG
rnacentral:misc_RNA from 2 species